rnacentral:lncRNA from 1 species
GUCUUCUGCGUCGCUCACGCUGGGAGCUGUAGACCGGAGCUGUUCCUAUUCAGCCAUCUUGGCUCCUCCCCUGACUGAUGUCCUCCUUAUAGGAAUGGGAAAUUCAGAUGCAGACAGGUGCUGAAGACCAUGUGAAGGCACAGGGAGGAGGUGGCCAUCUGCAAGCCAAGGAGAGAAGCCUCAGAAGAAACCAACCCUGCCAACACCGUGACCUCAGACUCCAGCCCCCAGAACUAUUCCAUAGAAUGUUCCCUGUUUCUUCAUCUAUGACAUGGGGAUAAUGUGAGUAUACCUACAUCAGAGGGCUGCGAUGAAGACUAAAUAAGCCCCAGAGGUUACUGACAGACCAAAAUAUCCUGACAACCCCGGAAUGCCAGAAGGAGAGAAGGGGUUUGUAAAUCUGAGGACCUUGACUACUUUUGUAAGAAGGAAUUACUUGCUAAGUACUGUCUCAGAAAGAAACUCUCUUGGAGGUUACCUGGGGACAAGUGGAGGAAGCAAGCCAUAGCCUUUUUGGAAUUGUGAUAAUAUUCCAAGGCAAAUGUUCCCAGGGGCUGGGAUUUUACCUUCUGUCUGUCCUACAAUCAGGGUGUAAGAUGGAGGAAUGCACUUCCCAUCUCUGAGCCACGGUUUCUCAUCCAUAGAAUGGGGAGUUUGGAUUUCUAAGAUCCCCCAUCUCACGCUUUGAAUGCGAUCAGGCUGGGAAUUCAAAAGCAUCUGCUCACUGGGAAAGGGAGGCAGUCAGGGUGGGACAGGGCUUGUAUUGAAUAACGAGAAAGGAGCAUGGUGACUAUGACUUGAGUCAGUCCGGAAAUAAAAUAUAAGGGGGUCUGAUCUGAGGCAGAAGAGGACAGCAGAAAUUCUCCUAGGAGUGGCAGUCAAGCCAGGUCAGGCUCGGGUCAGGCUGCCUGGUUCAGAGAAUGGCAUCAAUGUGUGCAGAGAGGUUCUUAAGGCCAGACAGGUGUCAGGGCCCAAGCCAAGUGGACUGGAGGUCAGAAUAGGGCUUCAGUUCUAAAAAAGGUGCCUGGCUGAGUGCAAAGCAGGCCUGAGUCAUCCAGACCUCACAAUCAUGGCUGGAGUGGCCACAGACAGACCCACAAUGGGUGCAGGGGAUCCCAAGUUUAUGACACCAAGAGUCAUUCCAGGCUUACCUAUGUUUUCAGGGCAAAUACAGGACUGAGUCUAGGCUGGAGGGUUAGAGAAGCUGAAACAGACACCUUUAGAACUGAAGUGUGAUGUUUUCAUUAAUCUGAAUACAAACCAUAGCCAAUAUAUAUGGUGUGCUUUCUCUGUGUCACUCUAUUCUAAGUAUUUCACAUGUGUGAACUCCCUGGCAGGCUAGUAGUAUUAGAGCUUUUGCUUAUUAAUCUCUAUGGUAACAGGUCAUUAAAAAAAAUAAUUAAUUACUGUGUUACCAAGAUCAAAAUAUAGUAAUAUUCGCCUCUUCAGCUGUGACCACCACCAUAGAAAAGUCCAGGCAAAAAUACAGAGAUCAGAAGGGGCAAGUGGAACCCUAUGCAGGCUAAAGACUCUUAGGAAAUAUGGGCCCUUGAAAUGUCCCCAUCUAUGUGGGUUUCAUUGUCAGUCCUUCUUUCUUUGGCAGGGUCAAGGGCAUUUGACCUGUUGAUACACCUAUUGCUUUUCCAGCAAGCCCUACAUCUUUCUAGUAAGGAGUCAAUGCACCAAAGCUGGAGGCCACUGGAGGUGACUCCAGUCACCAUUUUUCAACUUCUCCUAGAAAUGUCUCUUUGGUUUCUUCAGGCUUUGACUUGGGUGACUAUGGAGAACGUGACAUGGGAAGUUAAAAAGCAACAAGAAGUCUUUUAAAAAGUUUGAAUUACAUUGAACAUAUGUCUGAAAUGUAAGAAGGGAUAUCCCCAAUCUCAUCUUAAAUCUGAAUUGAACCUGUCAUAUUAUAGCCUGGCUCUUCUCUCACCAACUAUUUGGGGAACCCAGCCAACAUACUGUGAUGAAGCCUAAACAACUGUGGAGAGGCUCACGUGGAGAGGAGUCAAUGCCCACUGAUCUAUAAGCCUUGGCUGAGCUCUGAGCCAACAGUCAUGAUCAACUUCCAGCCGUAUAAGUGAACCAUCUUGAAAGAGGCUUCACCAGCACCAAGUUGAGCAACUUGAUUAUGUUACCAAAGAUCACCUCCUUCCUAUCAUCUUCCGUCUGAGACUUGCUUAGAGUGAGUUUGGAAGCUGUGUUUUGCUCAUCCUGAAGACUGAACAUAAGAAAAUAUUGCUCAAGUUCUGGAUGAUGCAGCUGCUGAAAUAAUCUGUGGUGCACUUUCCUUCAGGAAUCCUUACCUAUUUUUUCAGGUGUUCCACAAGCCUUCUUAUCUUGGAAUUCAGUAAUACUUAUUGUGUGGUUGCUUACUGUUCCCUAGGCACCCUGAAGCAUUGAAGCUUUGAAGCUUUGUCUCAUGCUUUCAAGUAAUGUUCUCGUGUUUACCUGCUGAUAUUCCUUCAAAGUUAGAGGCUGCCUCUCUCCAAGUGUGGAAAAAAACAAUCAGAUGUCACUAAGAUAUUGUGUAACAAUUCAUAUUAAACACAUGAUCUUGUCAGUCAAGAAGAAGAGAUUAAAACAAACACCUUGAGAGUUCAUGAGUAGAAGUAUACAGCCCUGCAUUCAUGAUAAUAUGGUGCAUUUUACCUACCUUGCAGCAGAAAGAGAUAUCUAAUUCCAUACACAGCAAUGUAACUGUUUAAAGUGCUCCUAAAAUUCAGACAAAACAAAUUAUAAAUAGUAUCAAGAUCAAAGAAGCUGAAAGUCCCUAUGUUUGAUGUAGGCACAGCAAAGUUUGAUGUAUAUGCUCAUUUCUCAGCACUGCAAGUAUGGAGAAACCAUCAGAAAGCAUGCUGAAAAUAGAGAGGGCUUCUAAAACAGAAAGCUCCUGCCUGUUUUACUGAAGGCUACCAGAUUCUUUCUCAGAAAUUUUGUACAGUUCAGAGGCACAAAUGCUCUUUUAGGUCCUUUGAAGCACUGGGUUUAAUAUCGGAAUUUAAUCUUGGCUCUAGUCUCCAAUUCCUUACAUAGUCAUUCAAGCAAUCUUGGGGACCAAGUCUUCCAAUAGCAUAGUGAUAUUCAUGCCUGAAGUGGGAGGAAUAGAUAUCCUCCUCAUUAACAAGGGAUGAGAGAUCAUGUUUCAUAGGCAAAAUACUCAUGCAUGCAAAAAUGUAACUUUUCCAGUAAUUUUUUUAGUACUGAAAUUAGCUUAGCUCAUUAGCUCUCUCUUCUACCUAGUAGCAGGGAAUGCAGUUUUGCUAACCCAGGUGACUCAUUAUUUCUGUUUUCAAGUUUAGUUUAUUUUAGGUAAAUUUUUGAAUUCAUAAUGUUUUUCUGACCUUUCUUCUCUUCCAGAAGAGGUUAUUCUAACUUCUUAAUGGAUUUACUUUUGUAGUUGUUACUGUUAUAUAUAUAUAAUAG